GAGAUCACCCUGGAGAAGAAGGGGAGCAAAGGGAGAACUUGGAUUAAACAGAAAGGGCAUCUGAGGCUUUUAAAGUGGUGGAGGAAAGAGAGCGGGUUGUAAAACUGAAAUGCAUAAACCCACAGGAAAUCGAGCUUCAUUAGAUCUUGCUGUCUGCAGAGCAAAUUGUUUACGUGUUGCUAACAUUAAGGCCGUUGAAUAUACGCUAAAAAUAUUACGACCUUGAUCCUGUCGUGAGCUUUGCUGCUGCAGAUUGUGGAGUGAACAAAGCCCUGCUGCCUUUGCUAUGUUCUCUGCAGGAGCAAGGGAGGCUUGUGCCAUUUGGCUACUGACAACCUGCAAUGGGUUCUGCAUGGGCCUGUCAAUACGGAGGGAGGAUCAGCUGGCCAGAGCUAUUCAGUGGAUCUGCUGAGACCUCCUCUUGCAUUGGAGUCCCCAGGAAAGACUGCAAAACCAGCAUGAACCUCCAUCCCGGGCUGGCUGCUGUCACAGACAGAGCAAGUGAGAGAGAAAGAAGGUCUAGACAGAAGCCGUGGCAUCAUGGAAACCACCGUGUGAAAAAGAAGACUGAGAUGACAAAGAGAACUGAUGACUGCAUAACUGCCUGUGCACAGUUCAGAUCUGUGAUACGCCCUGCCAGGGCUGCCACUGCUUUCUUCACCGAGCUGCACUCCCCUGGAGAAGAGCACUCAGUGCGGGGGGCUGCAGGAGCCAAGCACUCCUCCCAUCACUUCCUCUGCAAAAAGCUGACGGCCCAGAAUGACAGUGUUUCUUUGAAACAAACAAACACGUUCCCUUCGGCCUUGCUACGCAUUCUUUCAAUGAGGUUAAUAAUUACACCUACUUACAGGAAUCUGCUAAAUUGAGUUGCACUGAAGUUAGCAUUUGCCCACAAUUACGCCAUAAUGGAGCCUGGUAAUUUAUGCUUCAGAGCAGAAUAUAUCUGCAGUAACCAAUGAUAAAUGCUUACUUUUAAAUAGCUAAAGGACCUCUCUUUAUUCUCCUGACCUAUUUUCUUCCUGAUUUUUAAUUUCUCUGAUCUGAUCUGCCUUGUUCUUUGCAUCAUCUGUGGCAUUAAGUGAGAUACUUUCCCCUGGGCAAUGUUCUUCAGAGCCAUUAGUUAAUGAACAGCGUUAGCUGCGCCUCAGAAUCAAAGAAAAUGGAAAGAAAUGUGAACAUUUCUUCUUAAUAAUACAUUUUCUAAGCCAAACGUAGAACUUUUCAAGUGAAAAUUAAUACUUACGCAAGGUGCCAGGAGAGUAACGCAUCAAGGUUAAAAUACACACACAUCUGUGUAAUAAGAAACUGUCAUUCUCAGUCAAACUGCCCUGCUGAAGAGGCUUACCUAGGCUUAGAGCACCAACCAGCUCUUAACACAGACACCCGAAGUGCUCUAUGUACCCAUCCUGGACUGUCAGAACGCUACUAAUUAAUGUCAGAUGUUCUUAUGCUUAGGUAAUGACUGGUUCCCAAUGACCCUUGAAAAGGCAAAGUUUGGUACCAGAUGCUGCAAGACUGAAGUGCAUGACAGUUCCAGGGCACAGCAGAAAGCCAAGAGCAGUGCUACAUACAUGACUGAACUCCAAAAAUAGUCUUGAAAUUAUUCUAAAUGUCUUUAAAAA